GACGUAGGGCGCGAGCGUUGUCCGGAUUUAUUGGGCGUAAAGAGCUCGUAGGCGGCUUGUCGCGUCGACCGUGAAAACUUGGGGCUCAACCCCAAGCCUGCGGUCGAUACGAGCGGACUCGAGCUCGGUAGGGGGCCAUGGAAUUCCCGGUGUAGUGGUGGAAUGCGUAGAGAUCGGGAGGAACACCAGUGGCGAAGGCGGUGGCCUGGACCGAUGCUGACGCUGAGGCGCGACAGCGUGGGGAGCAAACAGG
rnacentral:rRNA from 1 species